rnacentral:lncRNA from 1 species
GGCCGGCGGCUGCCCUAGUGCGGGGCCCGAGGCUGGAGUGCGCGGCGGACGCCAAGCCUGGUGCGAGGGGCCGAGGCGGCCUGGGGAGCCCCGGGAAACUUUGUGCUCGCGAGAAGCGGACCCCGCACCCGCGCUGCCCUUGGGGAUGCGCGACUCUGCGCGGCUGCGGCGCGGACCCGGAGCCCGGGCGGGCAGGCGCUCCGGAAGCCAUGGAAAUAAAUAAGGAGCUGUUGAAGUUGCCAGCUCCCUGGAGUAACUGUGUAAACCUCCGGUCUUCUAUUCUCAUGGCCAAUAGUGCUUCCACUGGUCAAAACUCAAGCCUCAAGAUAAAGCAUGUAAAUAGCUUAAGAAGAGCAGU